rnacentral:misc_RNA from 1 species
GGAGGUGACGAAGUUGACACAAGUAAGUUUAACACCUAUAUUUGACUCUCACCAUCAAUAGCAUUCAGCAUUUAUUGUCUACUACAUUGCAUAAUUUUUUUCCUCAGCUCCUAAGGUUUCCAGCUUUUUCUUGUCAAGGUUUAAGGUGAUAGUGAUGUAGAACCAGCAGGGUAUUGGGGAUGAGGGGUGAGAAACAAUUUCUCAACUUGAAGAGAAAGACAUUCUCAGUUUAUUAGCUCAAA